GACAACGACUUCGAAGGCAUUCGGAGGAGACCAAACAGAGAAAGAGAGGGAGACACAAAACCACAUGUCUCGGUGUCACACAUGAGGAGUUAAGAAGGAGAUGAAGUCAGUGAAUAUGACCUGGCCUGGGGGAGUUUCCAGAAGAAGGCCCAGAAUCGCUGGAUGCCAGGAGUGGAGAUCUUUCGUUGCUGCCCUACAUGCUAGGAGGCAUCGGGCAGUAGAUGCUGUAAUUUGAAACGGAAGGUGUCUUGCCAAUAAAUUUUCAUCCCACCUGAACUGCCUUGCCUGCCUGCACCCAGUCAUCUGUUCCUGAGCAUUUUCAUUUUCCUCUAUUUUUCAUCAUCGUUUGUUUCGGCCUGUAUGAAGUGAAUUUCACAUUGAUUGGUGGAGCUGCUAAGUUGGCAUUACAGGGCCACGCUGGGGUAUGAUCCUUUGGGUUGAACAAAAUGACUGCUAGUUGGUCGGUGAAGGUGAUGGGAUCGAUCAAUGUCGCAUGGAGUAAGAUCGAUACCAAUCUGCUUUGCUUCAUUUCGAACAAUCUCAUACGGAUAUUAUUGCGACAGGAGUGCUGCUCGAUGUGGUCAAGCCUAUUUGACAAAGCAUUAUGGUGUUAGUCAUGUUAUCAGAAACCGAUUUUUCAAAAUCACGGAGUUGCUUCAAUUUAGUAUCGAUAGAUAUUUCAAGAACGUGUAGACUAGUGAGCUUUUCAUCAAGAAUUUCACACAAUUUAUUUUCGCGUUUAUCCAUGUCAUCAUUGAGUUUUUGUCUCUCGCGUUCCAUUGCCAUGGCCACCGCUCUUUGAACGACUGUAUCAAUAUGAUCUAGGUAUGCUGGGCUUUGUUUAGAUCCAGUUAAUGAUGAAGCAGAGGAUUGUGUACAUGCGUUAGCCGAGUGCAAGCGGCCUCUUGAUCUGGUGGAUAUCUUAGACAUGUUAGAGAUUACGUAAUGAUAUACAUGUAAUUGAAAAGUGGGAUGGGCUGUGCAUCUGCCAACUCACCAGUCAACCAAUUAGAGACGGCCUUCCAAAGUGACACAGCACGAAAAUAUCAAUAUGGGACUGGUCUAGUCAACACAUAGAUCCUGAAAAAACCAUGGAGACCGCAGACGCAAAAUGACUUCCAUACAUAAAGAUAUGAUGCACAAUUUCCAGUCGGUUCAAAACACUGAACACAUGCUAUGCUGAUACACAGACUAUCAUAAGAACUUUAUCAAGCAUAUGAAAUCUGGUAUGAAAUCUCUCAGCUCACAUAAAAAGCCUACGUAGCUACAUGUAGGGAAGAAAAUGCGUAAUUGCUGAGAAAUGAGCAAAAUAAGCAUGUAAUUCUAUCAAAUGUCAGGUAUUUUUCGAAUUGAUUAUAAUACACUGUCCCACAUAUGCUUUUCUGUGUUUACAGCGAUCAUCAGAAUUAUCGAUUUUAAGUUUAAAAAUUCAUGAUUUUACAAAGAUACAAGUUUACAUCAAUGUACCAGAUGUAGAUUAUAUUUUCAUCAGACUUAUUAAUGUAUGAUUCUUUCACCCAAAUGCAAGCUUCCAUAAAUCCUGAAAACUUUGCAACUCAGGUUUUUUUUUUUACAUACAGUAUAUUUUUUCCUACAUUACAUAGUUGCCUAAGUUAAUAGCGCACCUCUAGUAGUAACUAUCUUAAAAUGAGUUCGAACAGAAUCCAACAGAAUUACCAGUAAAGUGUAUGUAUAUAUAAAAGAUGUGUGCCAAAAAGCUCGGUAAGAAAAUGUGUAAUUGCUGAGAAAUGAGCAAAAUAAGCAUGUUAUUCUAGAAAAUGUCGGGUAUUUUUCAAAUCAAUCAUAAUACACUGUCGUGUCCCACAUAUGCUUUUCUGUGUUAGUGAUCAUCAGAAUUAUUGAUUUUGAGAUCAAAAUUCAUGAUUUUACAAAGAUACAAGUUUACAUUAAUUUACCAGGGCCCCGUCUUACAAAGAGUUAUGAUUGAUCCGAUCAAUCGCAACUAUGGACGGUCAGCAACGUUAACAUCUAUUAAGCAUGUUUGUUCAAAAUAUUUUCUAGCUAUGAUGUAUGUUCAUGCAUUCAUUGUUUUCUCAAAAAUUCGCUGCGCUUCUCUUUGCAUACAAAGGACAGUGUGCAAAUUUUUUGUAGAAAAAAAUUAUGACACAUGGAUUUUCAAAGAGUUAUGAUUGAUCGGAUCAAUCGUAACUCUUUGUAAGACAGGGCCCAGAUCUAGAUUAUAUACAAUAUUUUGACAAUUAACCUUAAUUUAAAAGACUUUCCGAAGAAAUAAUUGUUUGCUGCAACUACUGUCUUUUACCCCUGACCCUAAGUGAUAGUGUAAUACAACCCAAACAUUUCAUAAGAAUUAAUGUACAUGUAUGAUUCUUUCACCCAAAUGCGAGCUUCCAUAAAUCCUGAAACUAUUCCAACUCAGGUAUUUUUUUUUUACAUACAGUAUAUUUUUACCUACAUUACAUAGUUGUCUAAAGUUGAAGGUAUAUUUAAUUACAAUUUCAACGAAAAAGCUUUAUUCUUGGAGAUCAUUAUGCCUCUGUUAUGUAUUAAUGUGUAUUUAUAUAUAUACAAUUGUAUGUAUUGGUAUAACAAACAUUGUAAUUUCAUUCCUUUUACCCUAAUACUGCAUUUUCAUAGAAAAGUGUUUUUUUUUUUUCAAUCUAUUUAGAGUUUUCAACAUUUUGUUUUCCUUUUUUUUUUGCUGGUAAUAUCAUGUUAUGCAACUUUUAUUUAUUAAUAGAAUAUUUGCCAUGAUUUCGUAAUUGAAAUGCGUACAUGUAUUUGAUUUCGUUUUCCAUUUUUGUAUAUAUUAUUUUUCGGGGGGGGGGGGUCAUGUUCUUGAGACCGAGACAAGUUAUGCAAGGCCCUGGCAUGGAGGAUCAUUAUAUUGUUACUGGGAAUGCUGGACAUUGUCAGACCACCUCAGUAUUCACGAAAUAUAGAUAAUCCUCAAUGACAAGGUCUUUGAAGUGAUGUGUGUAUGUACAUUGCAUGUAGAAUUUAAUGUUUAGGUCAUUAUCACGUCAGAAUACGUUAAGAUAUCAUAGUUGACUCCAAAAGACGUCAUAUUCAUUUCAAUAUGCGACGUCAAUAUGACGUCUAUUACUGGUCAGCAAUAUGUUGCAAAGUCGUCAUUCAGACGUCGUAGUUGACUUAUAAAGACGUCAUAAUUACAUCAAUAUGACGUCUGAAACUGGUCAGGAAUACGUUGCAAAGUUGUCAUUAAGACGUCGUAGAUGACUUUUAAAGACGUCAUAAUUACAUCAAUAUGACGUCUAAAACCGGUCAGGAACACGUUGCACGGAUGUCAUUAAGACGUCGUUGUUAACUCUCGAAGAUGUCAUAAUCACGUCAAUACACGACGUCAAUCUGACCGUUGAUACUGGUCAGGAAAACGUUAUAAAAACGUUGCAAAGACGUCAUUAAGACGUCGUAGUCACUCUUGGAGACGUCAUAAUGACGUCAAUAUACGACGUCAUAAUGACGUUAUUCGCGGGUGCAAGAUCCCGUCAUUAAGACGUCAUGUUACGACGUCAAUAUGACGUGAGACCCGUCGUAAAAAUGACGUAAAUAUAACGUCAUUUUUACCAGUUUCUGCUAUCAGGGACGUUGUAACCCGCAAGUGAAAACCCGAACCGUACUGUCCCGUAUAAUCCAAUAAUUUGCAAGCGGGACCCGCUGACCCGCCGGGUUUUAACCCGCAAGUCAAUUUAUCUAUGAACAAGUGGAACGCCUUUGGCAGUCUCGCCUGCAUUACGCAAUUUAAUAUAGCAGCAGUGCUAACUUUGAAAACUACUAUAAAAUAAUCAUUCACAAAAACAUCAUUCAUAUAAUGACAUAAUACCACGUUCAUUGACCAUAAAUGACAUUUGAACAGAGACUUAAGACUGUCAACUACACCCAUGUCCACAUUUCAUUCACUCUAUCCAUAAACUUUCAAAGUUAUGAUGGCACUUCAACAAUUACCCCAACAUGGCCUAAGUUUAUUGACCUUAACUGACCUUUGACUUGGUUUUGUGACCUGAAACUCACAGGGGAUGUUCAGUGAUGCUUGAUUACUCUUAUAUCCCAAGUUUUAUGAACUAGAUCUAUAAACUUUCAGAGUUAGGAUGGUAAUUCAACAAAUACCCCCAACACGGCCAAAGUUCAUUGACCUUUAAUGACUUUUGACCAUGGUCAUGUGACAUGAAACUCGUACAGGAUGUUCAGUAAUACUUGAUUAACCUUAUGUCCAAGUUUCAUGAACUAGGUCCAUAUACUUUCUAAGUUAUGAUGUCAUUUCAAAAACUUAACCUUAGGUUAAGAUUUGAUGUUGACGCCGCCGCCUCCGUCGCCGUCGGAAAAGCGGCGCCUAUAGUCUCGCUCUGCUAUGCAGGCGAGACAAAAAUGAAAAAUAUUAUUUUUGCAAUCCCCACACUAUACAGGCUCAAAUCAGGAAAAUAUAUGCCAACUACUAACCUAGCCUAGAUUGAAUUUACUUACAAUUUGCAAAUUCGCCUUUUAUUCCGGAGAGAAAAUGUUUUUUGGGGUGACUUUAUACCACGAAAUGAGUCCGCUCUGAUCUCGAAAUUGAAAGCAUUACGCAAUUAACUCAUCUCUGAUUGGAGCCGCAGCGCGCGCUAUAGCUAGCUAGCCCAGGCUGCCCAGCAAAGAUCGGCAAUGUUGUUUUUCAGUCCAGGUCGGUCGACACGGCGACUCACAACAAUCAUAAUUACAAUAUUCAAUUCUAUGGGACCUCAUCUAUAAAGUAAUCAAAAUUGAAAUAAAUACCAGGAUAAUGAUACAGUCAAUUUUUUCUUCUUGUAUAUCUCCAUAUUAUUUCCUUCUGUUUUUGUAUUUCUUCCAAUUUUUUGUUAACUAAUACAAACGUGCACAAGGGUGCCCAUGAACUUAAGUAAACAGUCCGUGUUACUAGUGCUUAGCUAGCUAGGCUUUUAUUUAUUUUUUAUCUCUCUCGAUCGAUCGGUCAAGAGAGAGGUAUUUGCAAGAAACUUGCAAUCCAUUGCAAUCCAAUUUUACAUCUUCAGAAAUCUUGAAGACUUUCAAUCAAUUGUACAUCGGAAAAAUUAAGAGAUCUGGGCAUUCAGGGUGCGGGGGCUUCAGUUUUCAUCAGAAAAUGUAUGAAAUAACGAAAAGGAGGGUUAGUUAGCCACUAGACUAGACCAGCUUAGCAUGUCUUAAAAAAGGGGCAGCUAACACUCUGACCUGACGGCAUGCUCUAUCAGGUCAUGACCUAAUUUGGUAAUCCAAUAAGCAAACAACUGUCUCACUGCCGUGCACCGGUACCGCAAAUCCCUCGAGCUCAAACAGCGAGCGUUGCCGUGGAAACAGGCUCGAAUCGCCACACUCAUAAAACAUUUCUUUCUCUGCCACGUGGCCUAUCACUCGCUCCUUGCCAGACAUGAUUACGAAAUGUAUUCUGGCUUCUGUUUACAUUCUCCGAACACAUCCCCUCCCCUCUCUCUCUCUAUCUCCCCCUCUCUCUCUCCCCCUCUCCCAGUCGUAAAACAUUCCUUUCUCUGAUCUGACUGCGCUGCACUGGCGCUCCUUUGAAAGAGCGACUCGAUGUAGUAUGUCGAACUGUCUCAGUCCUGUUCAUUGUUCACAAGACAAAAAUACGCCGGCAUUUUUUUAAAGGAAAUAUCUACGUCUCUAAAAGAAUCCGCCACGUAAGAAGCACAUGAUCCUAUCUCGAUUUUCAUUGUUAAUGUUUUAUCAUGCGUCGUUACUUCUCCCUUUUUUUAGUAUGACGGUCUGCGGGUUUGAGAAUGAUCUCGGCCCGGCCCGCAACCCGCGAUCGGGGGCAUACCGGCAGGUUAACCCGUACCGCAACGGGUGCGGGUUACAACAUUAGGAAAAAGUAAAAUAAUUUUCCCUCAUUUCCCUGAUGGGCUGGGAACCCUGAAACAGGUGCACUGUAGCCUUUGAUAGUGAUGUGUAAUGCCACUAGAUUCAUGGGAAAACUGAAAAAUGAUUUGUGUUAAAUAUAGAUCAUUGGGAAUAUUUUUUUUACAAUAAAUCACAAAACAUAGACUUGAAUAUAAUAUAAAUGAAAUAUGUAUAGUUUUCUGAAAGUUUGUGAAACAAAACAAAACGAUUCAUCAAUUAUUAAAUCAACAUUUAAGAAAGUAAAAAAAACUUCCAAUUUACAACAAGUGGAGCGCCUCUGGCAGUCUCACCUGCAUCGCACGAUUCAUUAUAGCAGCAGUGCUGAUUUUGAAAACUACUAUAAAAUAAUUAUUCACAAAAAAAACAUUCAUAUAAUGAUAUAAUACUACGUUCAUUGACAAUAAAUGACAUCUGACCUUGAUCAUGCGACCUAAGACUUGUCAGUGAUACUUGAUUACCCCUAUAUCCACAUUUAAUAAACUAUAUCUAUAAACUUUGAAAGUUAUGACAGAAAUAUAAUUACCUCCAAAUGGCCAAAGUUCAAUGACCUUAAAUGACCAUUGACUUUGGUCAUGUGACCUGAAACUCGCAUAGGAUGUUCAAUGAUACUUGAUUAUGUCCAAGUUUCAUGAAUCACAUCCAUAAACUUUCAAAGUUACGACGGUAAUUCAACAGAUACCCCCAACAUGGCCAAAGUUCAUUGACCUUUGACCUUGGUCAUGUGACCUGAAACUCGCACAGGAUGUUCAGUGAUACUUGAUUACUUUUAUGUCUAAGUUUCAUGAAUCAGAUCCAUAAACUUUUAAAGUUAUGAUGGUAAUUCAACAGAUACCCCCAACUUGGCCAAAGUUCAUUGACCCUAAGUGACCUUUGACCUUGGUCAUUUGACUUGAAACUCAGUCAGGAUGUUAAGUAAUACUUGAUUAACCUUAUGUCCAAGUUUCAUGAACUGGGUCCAUAUAUUUUUUUAAGUUACGCUGUCAUUUCAAAAACUUAACCUUAGGUUAAGAUUUUGAUGUUGAUUCCCCAACAUGGUCUAAGUUCAUUGACCCUAAAUGACCUUUGACCUUGGUCAUGUGACCCAAAACUCAGGCAGGAUGUUCAGUAAUACUUCAUUAACCUUAUGGCCAAGUUUCAUGAAUUAGGUCCAUAUACUUUUUAAGUUACGAUGUCAUUUCAAAAACUUAACCUUCGGUUAAGAUUUGGUGUUGACGCCGCCGUCGGAAAAACGGCGCCUAUACAUGUACAUGUACAUGUACAUGUAGUCUCACUCUGAUUCGCAGGUGAGACAAAAAUUGAAGAUCGGUUUCUUGGAAAAUAUUCGUUUGUGAUGUCACAGAUGUAGCCAUAUGCAGCCACUCAAGUAAUUUCAAUCCUUUUCAGAGAAAUACAUGUAUUGCAACAUUUAUUUUUGCUUUCCCCUGUAACAGUGAGCAAUGUGUUUGCUCAUAUUCAUUACCAGAAGUAGCAUAAAGUAAUUAUCAUGAUUACAAACCAGAAAGUCAAUUAUACAUGUAGUUAGGCAGGAAUAGUUUAUCUACAACUUGCAUAAAAAAUCCAAUGAACCACAUGCCUAACAUGUUUCAUCCGUGCACAUAAAAUAUUGGUUCAAAGUAUAUGUAGAGACAGUGAUUUUCCGCGAUCGCGGAAAACGGAAUGAAUUCACGGAAAGGGCCUUUUGAAACGGAAAGUGGCAUUUCAAACGGAAAAUCACGGAAAACGUAUUUUCCCUCAAAAUACACAGAAUAGCACCAAAAAUUACUCCAAAAUCACAAUAAAAUGAGAAUAUUAAAUGGCCACAAAACCCCAGAAAACACGGUCUCACUUCGCUACUAUCAUGACAAUUCACACAUCGUGACUGCACUCGACAUCAGCACACUCGAUUGUACCCCGCACCCGUACCCGGCCGGCCGGGUUGGUCUUCACAUGCACACAUAUCGUUCAACUACCCCACUGGGCAGUUUACCUGACAUUACCCGGGUUGUAACAGGUAAUAACAUGGAUAUUACUACGGUAACAACAGUGGGUAAUAACAGGGAAAUAGUAGACCAAUCCUUCCCUCUUAUUACCUGGACCUGAUAUUUACCCAAUAUUUCUCAGUAUGAUGUAACUACUAUUUCCAGCAUUUUAAUGAUAUCACCACCUCAUAUUACUCUGUUUACCCAAUAUUACCCAAUUAAUGUCAGCUCAUUAAAAAAACAAUUAGUGUCAUUAGGGUCAUUGAAGCACAUUUUUACAACUCCAUACUCUAAGCCAUAUCAUCUUAUCCUAUCCUAAAAUCCUACAUCCUAAUCCUAAUCCUAUCCUACACCUAUCCACCACACCCUGUCAUUUACUUCUAUAUAUUGAGCGAGUUUACAACACUUGACAAAUUAUGGUUAACAAUUAUUCAACCCUAAAACAUUUUUCUAAAAUUAAUGUCAUGAUUAUGACUAAUAUGAUAUAUAAACUACACAUUUUUCUGAAAAUUUUCUGGGUGGAAUAAUUGCAUAAACAUAAACACAUUAAUUAUUACAGCUAUAUUAGCUAAAAUUUUGGCCAUUUAUUGUAGUAAUGAAUAUUCAUGAGUAACUAAUAUUCCCAGCAUUUUCCUGAUAUUACCAUCUGAUAUUACUCCAUUUACCCAAUAUUAAUGGGUUCCGCAUGGGUUGGAGGUCUUGUUUCCAUCUGAGUCCUAUCUGGGCACCAUGUGGGUUCAAGUAUAUGUUUUCAUCUGGGUUCCAUGUGGGCCCAUAUGGGACCCAGAUAUCCCAGAUAAGAACCGUAUGUGAUCCAGAUACUUUGCUGUCUGGGAAUGGAAGCGUUUCAACAUUACCCAUUACCCCUUAUCAACCUGUUUGUAACUGGGUAAAAUGUUGGUUUCAUCAGGGUGAUAACAAUAAUUUUUUGGACUUUGAAAAUUUCGCUGGGAUUGCUGUAAGAUUGCUCUUAUUACUAAAGUUUGCAAUGUUAUAACCAAUCAAAGUCAUUCAACAUUACCCUUAUUACCCCUCAUCACCCUGUUGUAACUAGGUAAAUGUAGGUUUCAUCAGGGUGAUAACAGUAACAGGUAUCAACAGGAAUUAUAAUUUCGGUAAUAACAUGGUAAUAACGGUAAUAUUUGGUGUUACUCAAAUUUCCGGGUGAUAUUACCGGUAAUAACCGGUAAAAUUGGUAAUCGGUAACAAAUUGCCCAGUGGGACACGGUCGUGUGUUGCUGCCCUCUACGUUUGAAGAUGUAACAGCACGAUAUCGUGGUCUUCAAAUCCAAGAUGGCGGAUUGGCAAAAGCCGUUGACUGAUGAUAACGAUGUCCAAAAAAACCCAAAAUUAUCGAUGAAAUAUCAUUUCACCGUGAAAUAAUGCUAAUAAUGUGAAAGGUGAGGAUGUAUGCAUGCUAAAUGGGUUU